rnacentral:rRNA from 1 species
UUGAACGCUGGCGGCAGGCCUAACACAUGCAAGUCGAGCGGUAGCACAGAGAGCUUGCUCUCGGGUGACGAGCGGCGGACGGGUGAGUAAUGUCUGGGAAACUGCCUGAUGGAGGGGGAUAACUACUGGAAACGGUAGCUAAUACCGCAUAAUGUCGCAAGACCAAAGUGGGGGACCUUCGGGCCUCAUGCCAUCAGAUGUGCCCAGAUGGGGUUAGCUAGUAGGUGGGGUAACGGCUCACCUAGGCGACGAUCCCUAGCUGGUCUGAGAGGAUGACCAGCCACACUGGAACUGAGACACGGUCCAGACUCCUACGGGAGGCAGCAGUGGGGAAUAUUGCACAAUGGGCGCAAGCCUGAUGCAGCCAUGCCGCGUGUGUGAAGAAGGCCUUCGGGUUGUAAAGCACUUUCAGCGGGGAGGAAGGCGUUAAGGUUAAUAACCUUGGCGAUUGACGUUACCCGCAGAAGAAGCACCGGCUAACUCCGUGCCAGCAGCCGCGGUAAUACGGAGGGUGCAAGCGUUAAUCGGAAUUACUGGGCGUAAAGCGCACGCAGGCGGUCUGUCAAGUCGGAUGUGAAAUCCCCGGGCUCAACCUGGGAACUGCAUUCGAAACUGGCAGGCUAGAGUCUUGUAGAGGGGGGUAGAAUUCCAGGUGUAGCGGUGAAAUGCGUAGAGAUCUGGAGGAAUACCGGUGGCGAAGGCGGCCCCCUGGACAAAGACUGACGCUCAGGUGCGAAAGCGUGGGGAGCAAACAGGAUUAGAUACCCUGGUAGUCCACGCCGUAAACGAUGUCGAUUUGGAGGUUGUGCCCUUGAGGCGUGGCUUCCGGAGCUAACGCGUUAAAUCGACCGCCUGGGGAGUACGGCCGCAAGGUUAAAACUCAAAUGAAUUGACGGGGGCCCGCACAAGCGGUGGAGCAUGUGGUUUAAUUCGAUGCAACGCGAAGAACCUUACCUGGUCUUGACAUCCACAGAACUUUCCAGAGAUGGAUUGGUGCCUUCGGGAACUGUGAGACAGGUGCUGCAUGGCUGUCGUCAGCUCGUGUUGUGAAAUGUUGGGUUAAGUCCCGCAACGAGCGCAACCCUUAUCCUUUGUUGCCAGCGGUCCGGCCGGGAACUCAAAGGAGACUGCCAGUGAUAAACUGGAGGAAGGUGGGGAUGACGUCAAGUCAUCAUGGCCCUUACGACCAGGGCUACACACGUGCUACAAUGGCAUAUACAAAGAGAAGCGACCUCGCGAGAGCAAGCGGACCUCAUAAAGUAUGUCGUAGUCCGGAUUGGAGUCUGCAACUCGACUCCAUGAAGUCGGAAUCGCUAGUAAUCGUAGAUCAGAAUGCUACGGUGAAUACGUUCCCGGGCCUUGUACACACCGCCCGUCACACCAUGGGAGUGGGUUGCAAAAGAAGUAGGUAGCUUAACCUUCGGGAGGGCGCUUACCACUUUGUGAUUCAUGACUGGGGUG